rnacentral:snRNA from 1 species
AUCACUUCUCGGCCUUUUGGCUAAGAUCAAGUAUAGUAUCUGUUCUUAUCAGUUUAAAAUUUUAACUGGGGGCAGGGGUAGAUAUCAUAAUGAUUAUUCAAAGAGACUCUUG